GUGACCUCAAAUCAGGUAGGACUACCCGCUGAACUUAAGCAUAUCAAUAAGCGGAGGAAAAGAAACUAACAAGGAUUCCCCUAGUAACUGCGAGUGAAGCGGGAAAAGCUCAAAUUUAAAAUCUGGCGGUCUUUUGGCUGUCCGAGUUGUAAUCUAGAGAAGUGUUAUCCGUGCUGGACCGUGUACAAGUCUCCUGGAAUGGAGCAUCAUAGAGGGUGAGAAUCCCGUCUUUGACAUGGACUACCAGUGCUUUUGUGAUGCGCUCUCAAAGAGUCGAGUUGUUUGGGAAUGCAGCUCAAAAUGGGUGGUAAAUUCCAUCUAAAGCUAAAUAUUGGCGAGAGACCGAUAGCGAACAAGUACCGUGAGGGAAAGAUGAAAAGAACUUUGGAAAGAGAGUUAAACAGUACGUGAAAUUGCUGAAAGGGAAACGCUUGAAGUCAGUCGCGUCAUCCAGGGAUCAACCUUGCUUUUGCUUGGUGCACUUUCUGGUUUGAUGGGUCAGCAUCAAUUUUGACCAUUGGAAAAAGGCCAAGGGAAUGUGGCAUCUUUGGAUGUGUUAUAGCCCUUGGUCACAUAC
rnacentral:rRNA from 1 species